GGUGAGGAAUAGACAGGUCACGUACCCCGCACUUCAGAAUAGUGUCCCAAAAGGGGCGAUAAUACUGAAUGAUGUCCUCUGUGUAAUGCAGGGAACCAAAGAUUUAUCGGUGUGGGAGCGGCCUGUUUCCUAUCAGCUAGUUGGUGAGGUAACGGCCCACCAAGGCGACGACGGGUAGCGGGACUGAGAGGUUGGCCCGCCACAUCGGGACUGAGACACUGCCCGGACCUCCACGGAGGGCUGCAGUAACGAGUAUUGGGCAAUGGGCGAAAGCCUGACCCAGCAAUGCCGCGUGCAGGAUGAAGCUCCUCGGAGUGU
rnacentral:rRNA from 1 species